rnacentral:rRNA from 1 species
CCCUUAGAUGUUCUGGGCCGCACGCGUGCUACACUGAGUGGAUCAGCGGGUCAGGUUGCGCGAAAGUGUUUCCUAAUCUUUAAAUCCGCUCGUGAUGGGGAUUGACGGUUGCAAUUUUCCGUCAUGAACGAGGAAUACCUUGUAAGCGCGGGUCAUCAUCCCGCGCUGAAUACGUCCCUGCCCUUUGUGCACACCGCCCGUCGCUCCUACCGAUUGAGUGGUCCGGUGAGGCUUUGGGAUCUGAGCGGAAAGAGCGUUUCGCUGUUUCUGCCCGGAAAACUCAGUCGAACCUUAUCAUUUAGAGGAAGGAGAAGUCGUAACA